rnacentral:rRNA from 1 species
AGAGUUUGAUUAUGGCUCAGGAUGAACGCUAGCGGCAGGCUUAAUACAUGCAAGUCGAACGGCAGCGGGUGUAGCAAUACAUGCCGGCGAGUGGCGCACGGGUGCGUAACACGUGUGCAACCUACCUUCAACAGGAGAAUAGCUCUGAGAAAUUGGAAUUAAUACUCCGUAAUAUUAUUGAACGGCAUCGUUUAAUAAUUAAAGUUCCGGCGGUUGAAGAUGGGCACGCGAAACAUUAGCUAGUUGGAGAGGUAACGGCUCACCAAGGCAACGAUGUUUAGGGGUUCUGAGAGGAUUCACCCCCACACUGGUACUGAGACACGGACCAGACUCCUACGGGAGGCAGCAGUAAGGAAUAUUGGUCAAUGGGCGCGAGCCUGAACCAGCCAUGCCGCGUGAAGGAUGACUGCCCUAUGGGUUGUAAACUUCUUUUAUACAGGAAAAAACCCCCGGACGUGUUCGGGGCUGAUGGUACUGUAAGAAUAAGGAUCGGCUAACUCCGUGCCAGCAGCCGCGGUAAUACGGAGGAUCCAAGCGUUAUCCGGAUUUAUUGGGUUUAAAGGGUGCGCAGGCGGAUUGGUAAGUCAGUGGUGAAAUCCCUCAGCUUAACUGAGGAACUGCCAUUGAUACUAUUAGUCUUGAGUACAUUUGAAGUGGGCGGAAUGUGUCAUGUAGCGGUGAAAUGCUUAGAGAUGACACAGAACACCGAUGGCGAAGGCAGCUCACUAAACUGUAACUGACGCUCAUGCACGAAAGCGUGGGGAUCAAACAGGAUUAGAUACCCUGGUAGUCCACGCCGUAAACGAUGAUUACUCGAUGUGUGCGAUACACAGUACGCGUCUAAGGGAAACCGAUAAGUAAUCCACCUGGGGAGUACGAUCGCAAGAUUGAAACUCAAAGGAAUUGACGGGGGCCCGCACAAGCGGAGGAGCAUGUGGUUUAAUUCGAUGAUACGCGAGGAACCUUACCUAGGCUUAAAUGACAGUUGACGGUUGCUGAAAAGUAACUUUCUUCGGACAACUGUUAAGGUGCUGCGUGGCUGUCGUCAGCUCGUGCCGUGAGGUGUUUGGUUAAGUCCAGCAACGAGCGCAACCCCUAUCCUUAGUUACCAUCAGGUUAUGCUGGGGACUCUAAGGAAACUGCCCGCGCAAGCGGUGAGGAAGGUGGGGAUGGCGUCAAGUCAGCACGGCCCUUACGUCUAGGGCUACACACGUGCUACAAUGGCCGGUACAGUGGGCAGCUACAUGGUGACAUGAUGCUAAUCUCCAAAACCGGUCUCAGCUCGGAUCGAAGUCUGCAACUCGACUUCGUGAAGUUGGAUUCGCUAGUAAUCGUAUAUCAGCAAUGAUACGGUGAAUACGUUCCCGGGCCUUGUACACACCGCCCGUCAAGCCAUGGAAGUUGGGGGGACCUGAAGUCGAUGCCCGCAAGGAGUCGCCUAGGGUAAAACCAAUGACUGGGGCUAAGUCGUAACAAGGUAACCG